UUCGACUCUUUCCUUCACUGCGCACUGUUCAUCUUCUCCUUGCACCAUUCUACUCAAUUUCAAGCCAAAAUUUUGGAGCUUUAAGGCAUUUUCGGGUUUCUAUCAAUAUUUCUAGGUAUUUUUGGGUGUUUGGUGAAGCUUUUGGUCUUUCUCCGAGAGGUAUCAUACUCAUCGUCGCUCAUCUAGCCAAGAUGCCAAGAGGUAAGACCAGAACGCAAUCCACUUCCUCCCUUCCCCCAUUCAAAAGGCCUAGGGAUGAGUCCUCCCCAUCUUCUUCCUCUAUUCCCACUCCACCUAGCAUUCCCACUAACUCUUCCAUGGGUUUCUUUGACACUUCAAUAUUGCAUGGUGAUAAUGCUAUAUUGGCGGACCUUAUAAACUUUAGAUGUGCGGAAUUAAUGGGUCGAUUACAAUUGAACCAAAAAGUGACAUCCGACCUAUUUAAUAGAGUCAUGGCUUGUCUUGAUUUGACCUUCCCAUCUUCUUCCUCUAUUCUCACUCCAUCUAGCAUUCCCACUAACUCUUCCAUGGGUUUCUUUGACACUUCAAUAUUGCAUGGUGCGAGUGCUACAUUGGCAGACCUUAUAAACUUUAGAUUUGAGGAAUUAAUGGGUCAAUUACAAUUGAACCAAAGAGUGGCAUCCGACCAAUUUAAUAUAGUCAUGGCUCGUCUUGAUUUGACAUCCUCAUAUUCGUCCCCCAUUCCCACUCCAUCCAGCAUUCCCAUUAACUCUUCCAUGAGUUUCUUUGACACUUAAAUGUUGCAUGAUGCGAAUGCUAUAUUGGCAGACCUUUCCAACUUUAGAUUUGAGGAAUUAAUGGGUCAAUUACAAUCGUACGAAAGGCUGACAUCCGACCAAUUUAAUAUAGUCAUGGCUCGUCUUGAUUUGAUGCGAGCUCUACUGACUCCUACGGGACCCUCUGCUGUACCACCCUCCGGCGACAUGGACGUUAAUGAUGAUGAGAAUGACAAAGGAUGCUUGAAGGCUUUGCUUGUUUAGUUUUAGUAGUAGUUUGUUGUUAGUUUUGUUUGUUACCCCCAAUGUUUUAGGGGGUGAUUUCAUUGUAGUUGUACCUUCAUGAUGCGUUUAGCCAUUCUUUUUGCAGCUUUUUAUGGCUAAGCAUGUGUUCAUCCACUUUCAUAUUCAUGUUGCAUGUUGUUAUUUUUGUUUUCUUCUUCACCUUUAUAUUUGAAUAAUGUUGGGUUUGAUGUUGA